AUAUACUCAAGCCGUGCCCAGGGUAGAAGACGGUCUCCUGUUGCUUCUAGAGCAAGAUGUAGAACUCUUGGCUCCUUCUCCAGCAACAUGUAGUCUGCAAGCUGCCAUGUCUCCCAUCAUGAGAAUAACGGACUAAACCUUUGAAACUGAACCCUAAAAGAGGGUCAAACUGCUUAUCUGUCAGAAGCCAGGCCUUGGGACAGACCCAUCCCAGGAGAGAGACAGCAAAACUUAUCUGAAGACUGGAGAGAUGGCUCAGCACUUAAGGGCAUUUGGCUGCUCUUCCAGAGGACCAGGGUUCAAUUCCCAGUACCCACAUGGCAACUCACAACCAUCAAUAACUCCAGUUCCAGGUGACCUGGCACCCUCACACAGACAUAUAUGCAGGCAAAACACCAAUGCACAUAAAAAUAAACACAUUAUUUUUUUUUUAAUUAUCUGAUGUAACUCCAUGGUACAGUGCUUGCCUGGCAGGCCCCUGUAGUUGACCCCCUGCACUGGGAAAAAGAAAAUGUCUAUGUGAACACAAAACAAUAAAAGACAAUCCGGAGGAUCCUGGACCAGGCCUUGGCAAACUGCCGGGUUUUGUCUAUAAAGCUGGGCUGCGGUACAGCCAUUAUGGGCUCUAUACUGUUUAAGAUGUUUUCCUGUUGUGGUGGCAACAGAGAAGCUGGGAUG
rnacentral:lncRNA from 1 species